rnacentral:lncRNA from 1 species
AAUGAAAGACUCGAUCUUGUAUCGGAGUUCAUCGUCGGAAUCAAAUCUUUCGAAAGACGCAUCCGUCUCCGAUCUCCUUAAUCUUCCUAAAGAAAUCUUCUCCAAUCCCUCCAGAUUCUCCGACCGGCUUCGUUGGUAACUCUGAAUUUCCCUUUUCUCAGCCAAAUUCUGUUUCUCCAUCUUCUUCACAGUUACCUCCUGAUGAUCAACUAUGCUCUGUUUCUCUCGCUUUACUGAAUUGCUCUGUUUCUCUCGCUUUACUGAAUUGCUCUGUUUUCUAAAUUUCUCAGGUUUGCUCUGUUUUUCCCUCUUCUCAGAAGUCUUCUGUUUCGUCUUCUUCUCAAUUACAGUAUGUCUCCCCGCCUGAGCCGAAAUGAUCUGUUUUGCUAUGUUCUCAGUUGUGCUCUGCGUCUCUUUCUCUGCUGCAUUCUGUUUGUCU